AACGAACGCUGGCGGCGUGGAUAAGACAUGCAAGUCGAACGGAAUAUUUUUGAUAGCAAUAUUGAGGAUGUUUAGUGGCGAAAGGGUGCGUAACACGUGGGAAUCUACCUAGAAGAAGAGCAUAGCUAAUCGAAAGAUUGGAUAAUUCUCUAUGUGCUCGAAAGAGUAAAGCGGGGGACCGUAAGGCCUCGCGCUUCUAGUGGAGCCCGCGUCCUAUCAGCUAGUUGGUGAGGUAACGGCUCACCAAGGCGAUGACGGGUAGCUGGUCUGAGGGGACGACCAGCCACACGGGAACUGAGAUACGGUCCAGACACCUACGGGUGGCAGCAGUCGAGAAUUUUUGACAAUGGGCGAAAGCCUGAUCGAGCGACGCCGCGUGGAGGAUGAAGGUCCUAGGAUUGUAAACUCCUGUCACCACAGAAAAAAGCUUUUGCCUAAUAAGCAACGAGUUUGAUGGUAUGUGGAGAGGAAGGGACGGCUAACUCUGUGCCAGCAGCCGCAGUAAGAC
rnacentral:rRNA from 1 species